UGGCGGUCGUCUGCGGGCCGCGAGGCCGCGUCCCCGUGCCCGCGCUCCUGGGGGCCCCGGCGCCCUCUGGCCUCAGGGCUCGGGCCGCGUCGGUCAGGCCCCGGGGCGACUCCGGUUCUUAGGAGGGAACGUGAAGAAGCGUCCUCUUAAAAGGUGAUCACGGACGAAGGACACAGCGGCGACCGCCCCAGGCUGCAGGACGGGAGGCCGCAGGAGCCAUGGCACUAGAACACUCUUGAAGCCUUCUGGAGAACCAUGUGGUGAGGAACAGAGGCCUCCUGCCAACAGCGCCAUCACAGAAGAGGGUCCUCCAGCCCAGAAAGCCUUCGAACAAGACACGGCCCCGGCCCGAUGGCCACCACCUGGGAGCCCUGAGCCAGAACUAGCCGGCGCAGCCGCUCCUGAACUCCCGCCCCACGGAAUCGGUGAGAUCCACACUUGUUGUUUUAAGCCGCUACACUUUGGGGUGAUUUGUUACACUGCGGUAGGCACUUAAUACCCCCAUUCAUGAGUCACUUAAACCGGCCACUCAUCCCUUUCCACAGCCACCCAUUCAUCCGCCCGUCUGCUCACCUCCCUGUCCAUUCAUUCAUCUCUGUCCAUCUAUCCAUUAAUCCAUCCUCCCGUCUGUUCCUUUAUUCGCCCACUUAUUCACCCACCCACCCUGCCAGCCGCCCACCCACUCCUCACAGAACACAGAGCCUGGCACAAAGUCGGCCCAUGUUUAAGUAUCUGUUGAAUGAAUGAGCGAACGUUGUCUAAACAUCACGUCUGUGUUACUUGCUGAGACAGGCCAGGGGGCUUAGCGGCUUGGCCACCUCCCUGGAAGCAGCUCCCCCCUUCCCAGCCCAUUCAGCCUCAUUUUUUCCUGUUGAGAACCACCCCCAAUCCUCCCACAAAUCCUUUAGGCCUGCCUGAUAGAAAAAACCUGCUUCUGUCUCUCCACUGACACCCCCCCCCCCCAGAGGGGACAAAUCCUAAGGCUGCUGGCUGUGGCUCAGAGGGCCACCAGCCUGGAGUAGGGGAGACUGGGGACAGCAGAGCCCCCUGCCCCCCGGGAGAGUUUGUGACAGGAAGAUUUGGGCUUUUCUGGAAGCCAAGUGGAGCAGCCACAGAAAAGCCAGUUUCCUUCUGAUGGCAGAGGCCUCACUGUCUCCUCCCUGAGGACAUCAGAGAGGCCUGGGGCUGCCCCCCACCAUACACACGUUUCUCUAGACGAAUCCCAUCUUAUUCCUCGUUUUUUUCAUCUAUGAAAUUGGAAUAAUGAGGGUAUUUUGGAGAUAAGAUGACAUGGUGCACAGGCGGAUCCCCAGCAAGGGCCGUUGGCAGCAGGCACUGAAGCGUGCCUGCUGAGCUGCUAGGACGAGAGCGCAGAGCAUCAGUAAAACCCAAGGCCUCCAAGCAGCGGACCGUUGACUCAGGGGACUCAGGCCCUCUCUCCUCCUUGCUUCGCUCACUCUGCUCUGGCUGCUCCAUCUCCUCCUGUUCCUCUAACCCUCCGCACCUGCUCCCACCUCAGGGCCUUUGCACUGGCCGUUCUCGCUGCCUGGAGGCUCUUACCCCAAAUUUCCCUUGGCUCCUCCCUCUCCUGCUUCAGGUCUUUGCACAAAUGUCCCCUUCUCGGUGAGGCCUUCCCAGGCCACCUGUCCACCACUUUCCCUAUCCUCCUUUUGGAUUCCUUUUCUUCCCAUCACAUCUAUCCUUUGAAGACACCGCAUCUUUUUCUUAUUAAUUCUGUUUGUUGUCUGACUUCUCGCAGAACACAGGCUCCCCAAGGGAGGGGUUUGGGCUGUUUCCACUACUAGAUCCCCACAUGUAGCUGAGCGACCAGCACACAGCAGUUUUACAAGGUGGACGGGUGGAUAAAUGGGCGGGUGGAUGUGAUGAGGGAGCAGAAGCCUAGCUCAGGACAAAACACAAGCUGGCACCCUGCAAACCAAUCCCCCCCACUCCUGGGUGGGAUGUGUGUGACAUUCUUCCAGGAAGCUCCCAACUUUUUUUUUUUUUUUGUAAGAUUUUAUUUAUUCAUGAGAGACACAGAGAGAGAGGCAGAGACACAGGCAGAAGGAGAAGCAGGCUCCGUGCAGGGAGCCUGAUGUGGGACUCCAUCCCAGGACCCCCGGAUCACACCCCUGGCUGAAGGCAGAGGCUCAACCGCUGAGCCACCCAGGUGUCCCCCACAACUGUCUUAAUGUUAAUACCUUGCUAGAGGGAAAAACAACCUUAACAAUGGCAAGGGCUUUGGAAUCCUGUGAGUCUUCUUUAACAUGUGAAAAUCCUUUUGAAACCUCGCUUUUCCUUACCUCCCCCAACUCCAAGUAUAUAAUCAGCCUUUCCUCACAACCUGGGGACGGCAGCUCUUUCUGCCCCAGGGUUUUGCCCUGUGCUUUAAUAAAACCACUAUUUUGCACCAAA
rnacentral:lncRNA from 1 species